GCAUAUCAAUAAGCGGAGGAAAAGAAACCAACAGGGAUUGCCCUAGUAACGGCGAGUGAAGCGGCAACAGCUCAAAUUUGAAAUCUGGCGCAAGCCCGAGUUGUAAUUUGUAGAGGAUGUUUCUGGCGACGUGCCUUCCGAGUUCCCUGGAACGGGACGCCAUAGAGGGUGAGAGCCCCGUACGGUUGGAUGCCUAGCCUCUGUGAAACUCCUUCGACGAGUCGAGUAGUUUGGGAAUGCUGCUCUAAAUGGGAGGUAUACGUCUUCUAAAGCUAAAUACCGGCCAGAGACCGAUAGCGCACAAGUAGAGUGAUCGAAAGAUGAAAAGCACUUUGAAAAGAGGGUUAAAAAGUACGUGAAAUUGUUGAAAGGGAAGCGUUCAUGACCAGACUUGGGCAGGUUGAUCAUCCGUGGUUCUCCGCGGUGCACUCUGCCUGCCCAGGCCAGCAUCAGUUCGCCCCGGGGGAUAAAGGUUUUGGGAAUGUGGCUCCCUCGGGAGUGUUAUAGCCCACUGCGUAAUACCCUGGGGUGGACUGAGGUUCGCGCUCUGCAAGGAUGCUGGCGUAAUGGUCAUCAACGACCCGUCUUGAAACACGGACC
rnacentral:rRNA from 1 species